rnacentral:lncRNA from 1 species
GUUGGGUGUAGUUGGGUGCUCAUGUUAAUCACACUCUUACAUCCCCACUCACAUCAGCGCUGGAGUCACGCCGAGAGCUUCGAUGGGAGGAUGAAGACGAUGUCUGUGGUGGAUCACUGGCUGCUGUUUCUGCCUCUUCUUUGUGCUCCUGAGAUGGUCAUCUCACAAGGAAAAUGUUCCGCUCCCUCGGUUCUAUGCUGUGUGGGACAGAACAACUUCUGCUAUCGAGGCUGCUACUGUGACCAGUUCUGCAUUGAAAACAAAGACUGCUGUAGUGACUAUAUCCCGACCUGUCAACCAACCACUGCAGAAGCAGACAGUACCGCUUUACCCGCACCACAGACCACUGCAGACGCUGCUGUCACUACAGGUACCACGCUCGCAGGACCCGCCACACCAAGCCAAACCCCUGCACCGCCACCAAAGAGCAGCACUUACAGAGCAGAAGCAUUCAGUAGUGGUGGAACUGCAGAGUCCACUCUGUCCAGUACUACUUCCACCGGUCCGAAAGAAUCACCCCCUGCAGGACCUGAGCAAGGUGAUUCGACUUCUUCAGUUACAAAAAAAAUACUGCAAAACAAUAUGUAUUUUCAUGCCAUUGAUAUCUUUUGCAAUAGUGCCAAUAAGAGUUUACAUACAGGCCAAGGUGGCCCAGAUGCCUGAGCAUGCAGCUCUCAACACACUACAGAACUUUGUUAGGCAUGUGGAGUCCAAUUUACAGAGAAAUGUCUGCAGUGAUUGUACUGUGACAAUUCUAAGAAUCGAGAAACUCUGAUUCCCAAUGGAACACAUGACGUAAUUCGACCAUGAACACAUUCAAUUUACCUGUCAAAACUUUGUAGAAACCAAUGUAGUAAACUUUGUGUUUCUGUUUUUGUGGUCAAACUUUGCGUGAGAUUUUCUUCUCUGGAGGGUGUAUUGUAUCAAUCCAUUUGUGUCAACUGAUCUGACUUAAAUGUUUGAUUAACACUUAAUUAAUUUAUCUUUCUUCAAACAAAUUAAUGUUACACAAUACUGUUCAAUAAAUAAUUCGUAUUUUCUUUGGAUUAGAAGAUU